rnacentral:rRNA from 1 species
GCCCUUAGAGUUUGAUCCUGGCUCAGGAUGAACGCUAGCGACAGGCUUAACACAUGCAAGUCGAGGGGUAACAGGGUGUAGCAAUACACCGCUGACGACCGGCGCACGGGUGAGUAACGCGUAUGCAACCUGCCUUUGACAGAGGGAUAGCCCAUGGAAACGUGGAUUAAUACCUCAUAGUCUCUUUUUCCUUCCUGGGGAAUAGAGUAAAACGAGAGUGGUCAAAGAUGGGCAUGCGUCCUAUUAGGCAGUUGGCGGGGUAACGGCCCACCAAACCGAUGAUAGGUAGGGGUUCUGAGAGGAAGGUCCCCCACACUGGUACUGAGACACGGACCAGACUCCUACGGGAGGCAGCAGUGAGGAAUAUUGGUCAAUGGUCGAGAGACUGAACCAGCCAAGUCGCGUGAGGGACGACUGCCCUAUGGGUUGUAAACCUCUUUUCUACUGGGAGAAUAAGCCUUAUGUAUAAGGUGAUGACAGUACAGUAGGAAUAAGCAUCGGCUAACUCCGUGCCAGCAGCCGCGGUAAUACGGAGGAUGCGAGCGUUAUCCGGAUUUAUUGGGUUUAAAGGGUGCGUAGGCGGCUUUAUAAGUUAGUGGUAAAAUUUCGGAGCUUCACUCCGGUCCGCCAUUAAAACUGUAGAGCUAGAGAAUGGACGAGGUAGGCGGAAUAAGUUAAGUAGCGGUGAAAUGCAUAGAUAUAACUUAGAACUCCGAUAGCGAAGGCAGCUUACCAGACCAUAACUGACGCUGAUGCACGAGAGCGUGGGUAGCGAACAGGAUUAGAUACCCUGGUAGUCCACGCCGUAAACGAUGCUCACCGGCCCUUAGCGAUAAGACAGUUAGGGGUUAAUUGAAAGAGUUAAGUGAG